GGAUAGAGUUUUGCCUGGAGGCAGGGAUGAGGCAAUGAGUACCCCUCAAAAACAAGCAGGCAGUUGGAGACCACCACAGGCACUUCUACAGAGGAAGAACAUGGGGCUUUCAGGUGUGUGUCAAACUCUAACCAGCAUGCUCUCUGUUCUCUGGCUCCUCUCCACAGCGACAUGCUUUAGCCACCCCAUGGAUAUCCUCUGGAAGACGCAAGCCGGACAGCUGAACUUCUGUUUUGAUGACUCUUUGAUUCUAGCUGUGCAGCAUUUUUAAGCAAAAGUGAACAAGAAAAAAUGGUGGGCUUCAACAACAACAACAACAACAACAACAAAGCUGAGUCUGGAAUGAAUGUAAGCACCGAAAGUUUUCUGACAAGCUGGCCUGAACGUUAUUUAAAUUUCACUGUAAAACUGUUAUAUAGAUGUAGUACUGACAGAUAUCUGCAUAGCAAAGAAAGGCAAUACCAUGUUGGCGGAUGAGGCGGCCACUUAUCAGCAUUUAUAGUGAAAAUUGCAAUAUACAAGAAUCUGAGUAAAGUAAACAUCUUCUGAUCCUUUCUCAAUUUCUCAGUUUAUCGUUCUUUGUGUCCACAUAUUUCUAUUUCUCUCACUUUUUGCUUCAAUGUCUCUCUCUCCCUAUCUUUCAGUCCUGUAUCCUCUCUCCGUGUUACAGGAGUCCACGUUCCUGGAGUCUUGACAUGACUCGUGACAAGUGUUUCCUUUUUUUUUCUUCCUGACUGGAGAGGCGUCGGUGGCAGCGUUGGUGGGGGUAGUAAUCCGACUAAGUUCUGCCACCAUGCUAUACAUCUCAGCGGGACUCGUUUACUACAUCUGCCUAUGUCAAUGCCGGAAACACGACAGUGAGCAAACAAAGAGGACAUGUCAGUCCCAGCGCAGGGCCCUUGAACUCAGAGAGGAUCUAAUGUGGCCACCAGUUAAGUGACACCUGAAUGAACCUGACAUUGUAUGUACAACCUCUACUGUAUCAGACCAUCAGCACUUUCUAAUCAGACUUUCAAUUUCAAAAAAAGCAACUCUGUAAACUGUAAAUCUUUCUCCGGAGAGCUCCGGGCUUCUGUGUUUCCCUUUCUCUAAUUGUCCUGUGUCUGUGCAUCGUAAAUCUCUCAGGGAAGAGCCAUUAGCAAAAAAUGGCUGGCAGGGACUCAGGGACACUGCAGGUCCAUUGUCACUGAGAGGAUGUCCAGAUACCGACUCAAAACACAAGUGUCUCGCUGCUGCAGCCCAUUCUCCUGGGUCAGAUGACAGCAUGUCUGGCUUGGCAGCCCCACUUUUCAUGCCAGCAGCUCACCAGUACGUGUUUGGUACUACUGUGGUUAGACUGGUUUCCUUCCAAACUCUAAGAAGAAGCAAGAUUUCGCACAAUAUGCUCCCUGAAUGCCAUUGUGUUUGGUGUUGUGCACCAAACUAGCUGCAAAUAGUGAAUUUGCUUGAUGGAGCGCAUUACCACAGAAUAAUAAAUGCUUGAAUCAAUAUGUUGUAGGAAAACCAAUGACAUCAAACAACGUUUGGCCUGGUCAAACCUGUGAAACAGCAAAAACUAAGUCGAAUGACUAGCAUGUCUUUAUGUGCCAUGUAAGUGGUGCAGUUAGUUAUGUAUUUCAUGCGUCAGGGCUUAAACCAGGGUGACAGUCAGCUCUGGGAAGAGAACAUCAAAAAGACUUCUCACAAUCAAAUAUCCUCCUUUAAGUGUUUUUUUUUGGGGGGGGGGGGGGGGGUUCUGUGUAAAUAGGACUUGAACAGUAAAAGGAUUUCCUGUUACAAGCACAGUGGGGGUUUUUGAUGAACAUGAUAGGCGAAAUGGCACGAAUUGGCAUCACGCAACACAGACAUGGAAGAAAUCGCAGGGCAUUUUUGCACACGCCACAUGUGACAAAUUAGCGUCAUCCCCAUGUGGUGGGAUUAUCUUCUCUGUGGUGAUCUCCAGCAUGUGUCCCUUUCUAUGGAGGGGAUAGAUCAUCUACUUCUAAGAGGUGUCUUUCUCAAAAAUGCCCAGUGCCUUUAAAAAGAUAUAAGUACUUCCUUACCAUCUGUGAAGUGGACAGUAUCAUUAUCUUUUAUAUGGUCAUCACUGCAGAAAAAAAACAUCUUUGUGCUUUGACUUUAAGAUUGUAGAACAAGUGCAGGGACUUCAUCACUAAUCUUUACAAGCAUACAUUAUUAUUACUAUAAAUCAUCCAAGAGCCAAUGUAACGGAGGUAUAAAUGACCUUAACCAUUUCAUUAAAUUGAAUUAAAUUGAAUUUACAUUAAAAACUCGUGAUUUCUGGCCCCUUUUUUUCCACAAGUGCAGAUUAGAUACAAGCCAUGCUGCAUCUCCUCUGUGUUAAACAUACUGAGUACAGUGUUACAGAGUUAAUGGGACAGAUAAUUGACAGUGAACCGUAGGAGGUUAAUAAUAGAUGCUUAAUUGACUCCUAUCAAUUUGUUACACCGAACAUCACUGUCUAAGAUCUCAUUCAUCCAGAGAGCAGAAAUAUUCCCAGCAAUGGCCAUAUUUCCUUUUUAUCAUCAGCACUUAUGGGAUACACAAAGACCAUCAACUCCCAUAUUGGUGAGGACAGUGCAAG
ensembl:lncRNA